rnacentral:rRNA from 1 species
UACGUAGGGUGCAGGCGUUAAUCGGAAUUACUGGGCGUAAAGCGUGCGCAGGCGGUUUGCUAAGACAGGUGUGAAAUCCCCGGGCUUAACCUGGGAACUGCGCUUGUAACUGGCAAGCUUGAGUGUGGCAGAGGGGGUGGAAUUCCACGUGUAGCAGUGAAAUGCGUAGAGAUGUGGAGGAACACCGAUGGCGAAGGCAGCCCCCUGGGCUAACACUGACGCUCAUGCACGAAAGCGUGGGGAGCAAACAGG